CCCUUAGAUGUUCUGGGCCGCACGCGUGCUACACUGAGUGGAUCAGCGGGUCAGGUUGCGCGAAAGUGUUUCCUAAUCUUUAAAUCCGCUCGUGAUGGGGAUUGACGGUUGCAAUUUUCCGUCAUGAACGAGGAAUACCUUGUAAGCGCGGGUCAUCAUCCCGCGCUGAAUACGUCCCUGCCCUUUGUACACACCGCCCGUCGCUCCUACCGAUUGAGCGGUCCGGUGAGGCUUUGGGAUCUGGGCGGAAAGAGCGUUUCGCUGUUUCUGCCCGGAAAACUCAGUCGAACCUUAUCAUUUAGAGGAAGGAGAAGUCGUAACA
rnacentral:rRNA from 1 species